rnacentral:rRNA from 1 species
UACGUAGGGGGCAAGCGUUGUCCGGAAUCAUUGGGCGUAAAGAGCGUGUAGGCGGCUCGGUAAGUCCGCUGUGAAAGUCCAGGGCUCAACCCUGGAAUGCCGGUGGAAACUGUCGAGCUAGAAUCCGGAAGAGGCGAGUGGAAUUCCUGGUGUAGCGGUGAAAUGCGCAGAUAUCAGGAGGAACACCAAUGGCGAAGGCGGCUUUCUGGUCUGUAACUGACGCUGAGGCGCGAAAGCGUGGGGAGCAAACAGG